rnacentral:rRNA from 1 species
GUGGGGAAUAUUGGACAAUGGGCGAAAGCCUGAUCCAGCCAUGCCGCGUGUGUGAAGAAGGUCUUCGGAUUGUAAAGCACUUUAAGUUGGGAGGAAGGGCAGUAAGUUAAUACCUUGCUGUUUUGACGUUACCGACAGAAUAAGCACCGGCUAACUUCGUGCCAGCAGCCGCGGUAAUACGAAGGGUGCAAGCGUUAAUCGGAAUUACUGGGCGUAAAGCGCGCGUAGGUGGUUUUGUAAGUUGGAGGUGAAAUCCCCGGGCUCAACCUGGGAACUACCUCCAAAACUGCAUGACUAGAGUACGGUAGAGGGUAGUGGAAUUUCCUGUGUAGCGGUGAAAUGCGUAGAUAUAGGAAGGAACACCAGUGGCGAAGGCGACUACCUGGACUGAUACUGACACUGAGGUGCGAAAGCGUGGGGAGCAAACAGGAUUAGAAACCCUGGUAGUCC